UGCCGGUUGAUCCCGCCGGAGGCCACUGCUAUUGGGAUCCGAUUAAGCCAUGCGAGUCGAGAGGGUUCGGCCCUCGGCAGACUGCUCAGUAACACGUGGAUAACCUAACCUUAGGUGGAAAAUAACCUCGGGAAACUGAGAAUAAUAUUCCAUAGAUCUAGGAUGCUGGAAUGCAUCUAGAUUGAAAGUUCCGACGCCUAAGGAUGGGUCUGCGGACUAUCAGGUUGUAGUCAGGGUAAAGACCUGACUAGCCUACGACGGAUAUGGGUUGUGAGAGCAAUAGCCCAGAGACGAUAUCUGAGACACGAUAUCGGGCCCUACGGGGCGCAGCAGGCGCGAAAUCUUCACAAUGUGCGAAAGCACGAUGAGGGGAUCCCAAGUGCUGGCACGUAAGUGUCAGCUGUUUCUUAGUCUAAAACUGAGAGAGUAAGGGCUGGGUAAGACGGGUGCCAGCCGCCGCGGUAAUACCCGCAGCUCAAGUGGUGGCCGCUAUUAUUGGGCCUAAAACGUCCGUAGCCUGUUUAGUAAAUGCUUGGGUAAAUUGUAUAGCUUAACUAUACGAAUACCGAGUAGACUGCUAAACUUGGGGCCGGGAGAGGCUAGAGGUACUCCUGGGGUAGAGGUGAAAUUCUGUAAUCCUAGGGGGACCACCAGUGGCGAAGGCGUCUAGCUAGAACGGGUYUGACGKGAGGACGAAGCCCUGGGGCSCAAACCGGAUUARUACCCGGGUAGUCCAGGGUGUAACSCUGCUUGCU
rnacentral:rRNA from 1 species